UACGUAGGGGGCGAGCGUUGUCCGGAAUUAUUGGGCGUAAAGAGCGUGUAGGCGGUUCGGUAAGUCUGUCGUGAAAUCCUGGGGCUCAACCCUGGGCGUGCGAUGGAUACUGCCGGGCUAGAGGGUGGUAGAGGCGAGUGGAAUUCCGAGUGUAGCGGUGAAAUGCGUAGAUAUUCGGAGGAACACCAGUGGCGAAGGCGGCUCGCUGGGCUACAACUGACGCUGAGGCGCGAAAGCGUGGGGAGCGAACAGG
rnacentral:rRNA from 1 species